UUCUGCAGGAUUCCCAGAGCUCAGCCUGAUAUUUGACUGGGGCUCUGCAUCUGUUUCCACCAGUUGCUGGAUGAAGCCUCUCUGAAGACAAUUAGGCUAGGCUCUUGGGCUUUUGGUUUUUUUUUUUUUUUUUUUUUUUUUUUUUUUUUUUUGUAUAUUCAGGAUAUCAGUCCUCUGUGGAUGUGCAGCUGACAAGGAUUCAUGGCCAUUCUGGGGGAUUCCUCUUCACCUGGUUAUUAUUUCUUAAUCUGCCUCAAAGCUUUUGAGUUUUGUCAAGCCCCACCUAUCAGGUGUUGGCCUUAACUCUAAUGCAAAUGGACUCCUGUUCAGAAAGUCCUGUCCUAUAUACCUGUAUCAGAUAGGGAAUGUCCUGUCCUUUCUUCUGGUGGUUUCAGUGUUUUGUGUUUAGGGCUUGAUGCAUUUGGAGUUAGUGUUGUGUGAGGUGGUAGAUGCAGGUCUGGUUCACUCUUCUGCAUUUGGACAUCCAGUUUCCAAGUACCAUUGCUGAAGAUGCGUUCUUUUCUGCAGUUUAUGUUUUUGGCAUCUUUGUCAAAUAUUAAAUGGUUAAAGUAACAUGUACUCAUGUGUGGGUCUUCAGUUUUGUUUUCUGGUCUGCAUGUCUGCUUUUGUGCCAAUUCCAUAUUAUUUUCACUCUGUAAUAUACUUUAAGAACUGAAAUAGUAUUUCCUCCAAAGUUCAUUUUUUUUCCUUAUGGUUGUUUUGGCUAUCCAGGUCAAAACUGAGUAUUUGAAAAAAUACAGUCACAAAUUUAAGUCUAUGAUUUAUCCAUGUGCCUUCCAAGUUUUCCACAGAUUACUAAAGAUCAAGAUGCUAAGCUUUCAUCCUGACUUUGGUGAGCCCAAAAUAAAAAUAAAUGCUUUUAGUAAAGACAGUAUUCAAAUAUCUGCUAUAAAAUAACAUAACAUAUCCACUGGUCAAGUUUGCUUAAUAAAUGAAUAAACAAGGCCUCCAGGACUGUUAAUGGUAUUUUAGAUUUUGUUUUUCUGGAUUUUUAUCACAGAGCAAAUUUAUCUUCUAAAAAUGUUUUCUGGGUACUGGAGAAAUGACUCCAUGAGUAAGAGGACUUAUUACACUUAUAGCAUAUCAGAGCUUGGUCCCCAACAUCCAUGUAAAUGGGUAAAAACACCUGUAACUCAGCUCCAGAGAACAUAACAUCCUCUUGUGGCCUCUGUGGGCAUCUGCAGGUAAGCCAGCACACACACACACACACACACACACAAAUAAUAAACAGAAAAUCAAAGGGGUUAAACUCUCCCCUUUUUACAACUGAAUUUAGGUUUCAGUUCUCUGAGAGGGGCAAAAAGGUGUCUCUCCCAAAAGGGCAGGAGGCAUUUAUCAACAAAUUAUAUUUGGGGCCAAAGGAGAGAACACAAACAAGGCCUUCAGACAUCCUCACAAUAUCUCAAGGCAAUGACCAAUACAGGGACAGACCCUGGGAAUUAUCCAAACAUGCCCAUAGAUGGAAGAAUUGUAGCCCUAGGCCAUGUUAGCCCUAGCCAAUCAGAAAUGUACUACUGUAACUGCCACUUGCUCAGCCAAUUACAGGUAGGAUAACCUAACUGUCCCUGGAGCGCCCCUUGGCUGUGCUUAAAGGAGACUGCACACUCUACUCAGAGUCAUUGCCAUUUUGUACAAGUGAAUGGUGCCGCAUAUGCUGGCAUAGGAAAUAAAGGUGUUUGCCGGUUGCAUGUGUGAAUGAUGGUCUUGUGUGGACUUCUCGUGAACCCUAAAAAAUCACCAUGGAGGAGACUGGCCAAAGUCCCAAAGGGAUGAUGGGCCUUCAGCUCCAAUGAUGGUUGCUCUUAGAAUGAUGAUCAAGGUUGCCCAAUAACAUCUGAACACAAAUAAUGGAAACCUGGAAUAACAUUUAUGUUCUUUUACAGUCUAUGGGAUGACAAGGACAACUGUCAUAGAAGUCUUUCAGACACAGAUGGCCUUUGACAUGUGGGCAGCAAUGUGGGGAGAACCUGUGCCAUUUUCAGAGUGUCAUGGCUAUCCAUGACCACUGACAUGUGUGCUCAGUCUUCCAAGACUGAAGUCCUCACAUUAUAUCUAUGCCAGAUUUUGAUUUAGGACUUCAUGACUUGCUAUGAACAUCAUCUUCUUGGGGACCUCCUGGUGGGAAAAGGCCAUGACAUUUGGGGGCACACAUUUCAGAACAGGGCAUAACAAUUUGUUGCAUGAUGUAUGGCUAUGUGAUUCAAUGUUCUGACUAAUGAUAUAUUUUCUCUCAGAAUCCCCUCAGAUAACCAUCCUGCACACGCUCGGCUCCAUGUUAUCUUCCCUUGGCUCCCUUAGAAAAGGGCUGACCACUUGGUAUUGGUAACCAAUUGGUAUGCUGUUCCUGGAGAAGAAGACUAGUGCUCCCUGUUUCCACAUCCAAUCUGACUGCUCAUCACUGGAAUAUGAACGUCAACAAGCUGGCGUGGAUGUGAAGAACGCACCAUUCUCCUGAAUGAUACACUCUUUACAAUAGUAGGCAUCGGAGACUCCCGGACCUCCACAGAUCACACGCCGGCCCUGGACCCACUCCAAUACUGCUGUAACUAAAUCUUUCCAGUCUUGUAGAAUAACCCUGUUCCAAGUGGCCCAUGAAUUUAACAUCUGCUUCACAAAAGGUGAGUGCAAAUCAUAUGAAACUAUUGCUUCCUUAAACUCUUCACAUCUAACAUGUUUAAAGGAUCCCAGUUAACUCUAGAAUAGCCUUGGGAAUGCCUAUCAUCUGGUGGUCAUUCUUGAAUGGUAACUAGAUAAAUUAAGGUUUUCUAAUAACCUUGGGAAGCUCCCGUUCAGUUUCACAAUGCCAUGAUGUGGCAACUUCUGCUCUAAACUCCACUGUCUGUGUGAAUAUUUUUCUUAGUUCCAUUAGUCUGUCUUUCUAAGGAUUUUAUCUUAUCAGUCAAUUUUUCAUAUUUGGCAGAUAUCAAACAAAUUUUUUAGGGAGAAAACAAGAAUUACCAAAAUGAUAAUUGACAUUAUGUCAAUCACAGCUAAGUUGAUUAUCCCUUCAUUUAAUUGUUCCAUUUUCAAACCAUGCAUAUAGAGAACUAACUCUGUGUGUUGAAUUGUUUCCCAUUUUUAAUGUAGGGAAAAAAGAAUGUCUUCUCUCUCUCUCACUCUCUCUCUCUCUCUCUUUUUAAGUAAUUCCCCCUUAAAGAAUUCCCAGGUGGGACCUGAUCCAUAACGAGGUGAGUGGCCCUCUGCUCUUACCCCACUCCUGUCCAAAGCCCCAUUCACUCCAAACUCCCUGGGCCUGCUUGGGGUAGACACACC